rnacentral:misc_RNA from 1 species
CGGGAAUAUAAGAUUAAUUUGCUUGGGUUCUCCACAGAAUGCGCGCACCACACAAAUAUCACAACUGCCUCUCAGGAUAAAGCUUUUAUCCAUACUACUUCUCCUUCAUCUUUUCUUUCAACUGGACUAAUUUGAUUUUUUUUCCGUUCUCACACCUUGACCAUGGUGUUAGCUUUCAGCUUCAUUUCAUUGCUCCAACCAAGGAAGAAAUUUGGGCUUCUGUUUCGUUUCUUCCAUGAGUGGCCAUUCAAUUAUAAGCAACUUGUCUUUCCAAGCUAAGAAUAAUGACAUGGAGGCAUCCAUGCAAGGGGAAUCAAGAGCUCCUGGUCCGACUACUCCAUUUAUUUUUUACUUUCAUACAUAGUAUGUACCAUUGUCGUCGUCGUCGUCAUCAUCAUC